rnacentral:rRNA from 1 species
ACCAGCUCUUCAAGUGGUCGGGAUAAUUAUUGGGCUUAAAGUGUCCGUAGCUGGUAGGGUAAGUUCCUGGUAAAAUUGGGCAGCUUAACUGUCCUUAUGCUAGGAAUACUACUCUCCUAGAGGGCGGGAGAAGUCUGAGGUACUACAGGGGUAGGGGUGAAAUCUUAUAAUCCUUGUAGGACCACCAGUGGCGAAAGCGUCAGACCGGAACGCGCCUGACAGUGAGGGACGAAAGCCAGGGGAGCGAACCGGAUUAGAUACCCGGGUAGUCCUGGCCGUAAACGAUGCGCACUAGGUGAUGGUGCGGCUAUGAGCCGCAUCAGUGUCGUAGGGAAACCGUUAAGUGUGCCGCCUGGGAAGUACGGUCGCAAGGCUUAAACUUAAAGGAAUUGGCGGGGGAGCACCACAAGGGGUGAAGCCUGCGGUUC